rnacentral:rRNA from 1 species
GCUCAGGAUGAACGCUGGCGGCGUGCUUAACACAUGCAAGUCGAACGAAGCACUUUAUUUGAUUUCCUUCGGGAUUGAUUAUUUUGUGACUGAGUGGCGGACGGGUGAGUAACGCGUGGGUAACCUGCCUUGUACAGGGGGAUAACAGUUGGAAACGGCUGCUAAUACCGCAUAAGCGCACAGCAUCGCAUGAUGCAGUGUGAAAAACUCCGGUGGUAUAAGAUGGACCCGCGUUGGAUUAGCUAGUUGGUGAGGUAACGGCCCACCAAGGCGACGAUCCAUAGCCGACCUGAGAGGGUGACCGGCCACAUUGGGACUGAGACACGGCCCAAACUCCUACGGGAGGCAGCAGUGGGGAAUAUUGCACAAUGGGCGAAAGCCUGAUGCAGCGACGCCGCGUGAGCGAAGAAGUAUUUCGGUAUGUAAAGCUCUAUCAGCAGGGAAGAUAAUGACGGUACCUGACUAAGAAGCACCGGCUAAAUACGUGCCAGCAGCCGCGGUAAUACGUAUGGUGCAAGCGUUAUCCGGAUUUACUGGGUGUAAAGGGAGCGCAGGCGGUGCGGCAAGUCUGAUGUGAAAGCCCGGGGCUCAACCCCGGUACUGCAUUGGAAACUGUCGUACUAGAGUGUCGGAGGGGUAAGCGGAAUUCCUAGUGUAGCGGUGAAAUGCGUAGAUAUUAGGAGGAACACCAGUGGCGAAGGCGGCUUACUGGACGAUAACUGACGCUGAGGCUCGAAAGCGUGGGGAGCAAACAGGAUUAGAUACCCUGGUAGUCCACGCC